rnacentral:rRNA from 1 species
CGAUGAUCCGGUGCUUGCACCGGGGAUUAGUGGCGAACGGGUGAGUAACACGUGAGUAACCUGCCCCCGACUCUGGGAUAAGCCCGGGAAACUGGGUCUAAUACCGGAUAUUCACUUCCCCUCGCAUGGGGGGUGGUGGAAAGGUUUUUUCCGGUCGGGGAUGGACUCGCGGCCUAUCAGCUUGUUGGUGGGGUAGUGGCCCACCAAGGCGACGACGGGUAGCCGGCCUGAGAGGGUGACCGGCCACACUGGGACUGAGACACGGCCCAGACUCCUACGGGAGGCAGCAGUGGGGAAUAUUGCACAAUGGGCGCAAGCCUGAUGCAGCGACGCCGCGUGAGGGAUGACGGCCUUCGGGUUGUAAACCUCUUUCAGUAGGGAAGAAGCGAAAGUGACGGUACCUGCAGAAGAAGCGCCGGCUAACUACGUGCCAGCAGCCGCGGUAAUACGUAGGGCGCAAGCGUUAUCCGGAAUUAUUGGGCGUAAAGAGCUCGUAGGCGGUUUGUCGCGUCUGCCGUGAAAGUCCGGGGCUCAACCCCGGAUCUGCGGUGGGUACGGGCAGACUUGAGUGCAGUAGGGGAGACUGGAAUUCCUGGUGUAGCGGUGAAAUGCGCAGAUAUCAGGAGGAACACCGAUGGCGAAGGCAGGUCUCUGGGCUGUAACUGACGCUGAGGAGCGAAAGCAUGGGGAGCGAACAGGAUUAGAUACCCUGGUAGUCCAUGCCGUAAACGUUGGGCACUAGGUGUGGGGGACAUUCCACGUUUUCCGCGCCGUAGCUAACGCAUUAAGUGCCCCGCCUGGGGAGUAC